rnacentral:rRNA from 2 species
UUAAAUUGAAGAGUUUGAUCAUGGCUCAGAUUGAACGCUGGCGGCAGGCCUAACACAUGCAAGUCGAACGGUAGCACAGAGAGCUUGCUCUCGGGUGACGAGUGGCGGACGGGUGAGUAAUGUCUGGGAAACUGCCCGAUGGAGGGGGAUAACUACUGGAAACGGUAGCUAAUACCGCAUAACGUCGCAAGACCAAAGUGGGGGACCUUCGGGCCUCACACCAUCGGAUGUGCCCAGAUGGGAUUAGCUAGUAGGUGGGGUAACGGCUCACCUA